rnacentral:rRNA from 1 species
UGUAGUCAUAUGCUUGUCUCAAAGAUUAAGCCAUGCAUGUCUAAGUAUAAGCAAUUAUACAGCGAAACUGCGAAUGGCUCAUUAUAUAAGUUAUCGUUUAUUUGAUAGUACCUUACUACUUGGAUAACCGUGGUAAUUCUAGAGCUAAUACAUGCUAAAAAUCCCGACUUCGGAAGGGAUGUAUUUAUUAGAUUAAAAACCAAUGCCCUUCGGGGCUCCUUGGUGAUUCAUGAUAACUUCUCGAAUCGCACGGCCUUGCGCCGGCGAUGGUUCAUUCAAAUUUCUGCCCUAUCAACUUUCGACGGCUGGGUCUUGGCCAGCCAUGGUGACAACGAGUAACGGAGGGUUAGGGCUCGGCCCCGGAGAAGGAGCCUGAGAAACGGCUACUACAUCCAAGGAAGGCAGCAGGCGCGCAAAUUACCCAAUCCCGACUCGGGGAGGUAGUGACAAUAAAUACUGAUACAGGGCUCUUUUGGGUCUUGUAAUUGGAAUGAGUACAAUUUAAAUCCCUUAACGAGGAACAAUUGGAGGGCAAGUCUGGUAAUCG